GGACUAUGCGACAAGUGGCAAAAACAAGUUUCUCUGUUCCAUUUAUUCAGGAAUGCAUGCCUGGCAUCUGCGAAACAGUGGCAUCUGAAAAAAAAAUGUCUUUAGACUGAUCCUGGCUUUAUACACAGCUGCUGAAAAGAUCAGUGUAAACAUCGAUAUUUCCAGGUGAGUACUGCGCAGUACGUUCCGUCGAGUAAUCUAUAUUACUGGUGUGACAGAUGGAGAAACACAUGCUAUACUGUCUACUGACGGUGGCUUUCGUGCUCUUUGGCACCAACAUAAUCUCUAACUGCCAGAAGAGUGGGCUACGCCCAGUGAAAAGCCGACAUAUUCCAGCGCAGGUUUACAGAAACCAGUGCAUCGUGAGCAGUAGCAUCAAAUUAGGGGAUGGCGAGUCAGCAACUUCUCAUGACACCUGCACAAACAUCACAUGUCGGCUAUCCAACAAGUCUUUGACAUUAGAUUUCUGUGAUAUUCUUACUGUGUAUAACGAUUCAUGGACGCUGUACUUUCCUGAACCCAAAGGAGAAUUUCCUUUCUGCUGCCCGAUGUUUACGCCAAGAACUUGAUGUGAAAGUAAAGCCAGUGUUGUGCAGGCGUCGCAAUAGUGGUUUUACAUUCAUCACUUAAUAUAGCCACCGUGCGCCUGCUUAGGGGGUAACUGUAAUACGCUUAACUGCUCGUACAUUAGACAAUAAACUUGUUAU